AGGGUUGUCGUAGACUACGACGUUGAUAGGCAGGGUGUGUAAGCGUUGUGAGGCGUUGAGCUAACCUGUACUAAUUGCCCGUGAGGCUUAACCAUACAACACCCAAGGGGUUU
rnacentral:rRNA from 1 species